rnacentral:tRNA from 1 species
GCGAGUAUGGUUUAGAGGUAAAACAUCACCUUGCCAAGGUGAGGUCACGGGUUCGAUUCCCGUUACUCGCU